rnacentral:pre_miRNA from 17 species
UCCCACCCUUUUUGGCAAUGGUAGAACUCACACCGGUGAGGUACUGGGACCCGGUGGUUCUAGACUUGCCAACUAUGGUGUAAGU